rnacentral:rRNA from 1 species
GUGGGGAAUAUUGGACAAUGGGCGAAAGCCUGAUCCAGCCAUGUCGCGUGUGUGAAGAAGGUCUUCGGAUUGUAAAGCACUUUAAGUUGGGAGGAAGGGCAGUAAGUUAAUACCUUGCUGUUUUGACGUUACCGACAGAAUAAGCACCGGCUAACUUCGUGCCAGCAGCCGCGGUAAUACGAAGGGUGCAAGCGUUAAUCGGAAUUACUGGGCGUAAAGCGCGCGUAGGUGGUUUUGUAAGUUGGAGGUGAAAUCCCCGGGCUCAACCUGGGAACUGCCUCCAAAACUGCAUGACUAGAGUACGGUAGAGGGUAGUGGAAUUUCCUGUGUAGCGGUGAAAUGCGUAGAUAUAGGAAGGAACACCAGUGGCGAAGGCGACUACCUGGACUGAUACUGACACUGAGGUGCGAAAGCGUGGGGAGCAAACAGGAUUAGAUACCCUUGUAGUCC